ensembl:lncRNA
GUCAACACUGAGCACUGAUACUCCCCCUACCAAAGUACAACCUAACUGCCCUCCCCUUGAAUGUAGGUUUGACUGAGUGACUCACUUCUCUUUGAAGAAACAGAACAAAGUGGAAGUGAUAGGAUGUCAUAAAAAUGAUCUCCCAUGGAUCACUCCCUGUGGAGGAAACCACCUGCUGUGUCCUGAAGACAAUCCAGCUUUCUACACAAAGGCCCAUGCUGAGGUAUCUCCUGCCCACAGCUACAUGAGUAGGCAUAGAAGCAGAUCCUCCAGCCCCACUCGAGUUUUCAGACGACUGCAGCCCCGAGCGGCCAGCUGCAACCUCAUGAGACACCCUGAGCCAGAACCAUCCAGCUAAGCUGCUCCCAGAUUCCUGACUAUCCAAAACUGUGAGAUGACAAAGGUUAGUUGUUUCAAGCUGCUAAGUGUUGAGGAAAUCCAUUAUUCAGAGGAGAUAACUGAUACAGAUAUUAUGAAAAUAUUUUGAGCAUUCUCACUAUGGAUAGUCAUGGGUUUAUUUUUUAUUUUAUUUUUUAUUUAAUUUUAUUUUUUGCUUUUUAGGGCUGUACCAGUGGCAUAUGGAAGUUCCUAGGCUAGGGGUGGAAUCAGAGCUGCAGUUGUAGGCCUAUGCCACAGCCACAGCAAUACAGAAUCUGAACCACAUCUGCGACCUAUGCCGCAGCUUGCCACAACGUCCGAUCCUUAACCUACUGAGUGAGGUCAGGGGUUACUAGUGAACCUGCAUCCUCAUGGAUACUAGUCAGAUUCAUUUCCACUGAGCCACUAGCGGAUCUCCUGAACUGUUUCCUUAUGGUGAUUGGUUUAGGUACAACAGUUUUGGAUUUUUUUCCUCCCAGGAACUUAAUAUAUAUUUUCAAUAGGUAGUUUGGUUUACAGAUAGGAAUAAAAGAGUAAAAGACAAGAAUGGUAAAUUUUUUGGUCUCAUUCAGUUUCCUAAAGUAUUUUUUGACAACUUACAUGUACUCUUCAAUAUGCUCCAAUAUUUUAUUCACAAUAUAGGAAAGAGUUACAUAUGUGUUUUAUUAUUUAUUUAUUCAUUUAUUUAUUUUUUUAGGGCUGCAACUGCAGCACAUGGAAGUUCCCAGGCUAGGGAUCCAAUGCAAGCUAUAGCUGCUGCCCUACACCACAGCCACAGUAACGUGGGAUCCAAGCCACAUCUGUGACCUACACUGCAGCUGUGGCAACUGGGAUCCUUAACCCACUGAGCAAGGCCAGGGAUCGAACCCACAACCUCAUGGACACUAUGUUGGGUUCUUAACCCACUGAGCCACCAGUGGCAACUCCUGUCCUUCCAGUCUUAAAUUCCAUCCUUCCUCCCAUCUCAUGACCAUUCUCCCAGAAGACCCAUACUUUCCUACCUCUAUAUCUUUACUACCAUGAUUCCAUCUAUUUAGAUGUGCUUUCAUCUUUUGAGGGCCAGUUCAAGUGGCACUUGCAAGAAGUCUCAUUUUCCAAUUUCAAUUAACUUCUCCUUGUGUUCCCAUAGCACUAGCUCUGUAGUUCUAUUAGAAAACUCAUUUCAGUGACCUUGGUAUUAUAUCAAGUUUUGUGUAGGCAUCUAUCAUCUGUCCUCCCCGUCCACUUCUUUGGGAUAGACUGUGUCUUUUUCAACUUUGCACACAUGCCUGUCCCCUUCCAACUGCAUGUGACAUAGUAUUUAUUUCAACUAUAUAAGCCUUAGUUUCUUGAUCAGUAAUAUGGUGAUGGAAAUACUUCUUACACCCAUAAGGUUGUACUGAGGACUAGAGAUGAUACAUGUAAAGUGCUUUGCAGACAGUAAAAUUAUGUUUGGUACAAAGUAAAUGCUCUUAUUUUUUUUUAAUUUUUAUUUUUUGAAAUCCACUUCAGAGGAAUAAAAAAAAAGUUAUUAGUUGGAUACUUCAAGAACUGGUGAUUCUUAUUCUCAUGAUAAGAUUUUUAUUGCUGUUGUUUGUUUUUAAAUUUGGCAUUUCUUAUAUUUCAAAACUGUUUGCUGAUUUCCAGGAAAAGCACUUUGUCUAAAAGCACUUCUUAUUGACAAAUGGAACAUUGUGAUAUAUUGUACCACUUAAAAAAAUGUAAUUUAUGUUAAUAUAUUGGAAGGAUUUCAAUGUUGAGAUAUUUCAGUGGUUUCAAAUGUCCACAAAUUCUCCAAUACUUCCCCCUACCAAAGUACAACCUAACUGCCCUCCCCUUGAAUGUAGGUUUGACUGAGUGACUCACUUCUCUUUGAAGAAACAGAACAAAGUGGAAGUGAUAGGAUGUAACUUGGGACGUUAGGUCAUAAAAAUGAUCUCCCAUGGAUCACUCCCUGUGGAGGAAACCACCUGCUGUGUCCUGAAGACAAUCCAGCUUUCUACACAAAGGCCCAUGCUGAGGUAUCUCCUGCCCACAGCUACAUGAGUAGGCAUAGAAGCAGAUCCUCCAGCCCCACUCGAGUUUUCAGACGACUGCAGCCCCGAGCGGCCAGCUGCAACCUCAUGAGACACCCUGAGCCAGAACCAUCCAGCUAAGCUGCUCCCAGAUUCCUGACUAUCCAAAACUGUGAGAUGACAAAGGUUAGUUGUUUUAAGCUUCUAAGUGUUGAGGAAAUCCAUUAUUCAGAGGAGAUAACUGAUACAGAUAAUCAUGGGUUUAUUUUUUUAAUCUAAUUUUAUUUUUUUCUUUGUAGGGCUGCCUCCACAGCAUACAGAGGUUCCCAGAGUAGAGUUCUAAUCGGAGCUACAGCUACCGGCCUACACCACAGCCACAGCAACAUCAGAUCCAAGAUGUGUCUGUGACCUACACCACAGCUCACAGCAACACCGGAUCUUGAACCCACUGAGUGAGCCCAGGGAUCAAACCUGAAUCCUCAUGGACACUAUGUCAGGUUCUUAACCUACUGAGCCACAAUGGAAACUACAAUAUUCAUAGUUUUAAAUCUAUGAUCAUUAAUUUCUAAAAGUGGCAAGAAAACUUGAGGCAAUUAUCAAAGUCAUGGUCUGGAACCCACUUUUCACUAAUGGCAGUGGACAUGAGUGUCAUUCCACUCUGUCAACUAGUUAUAUAACAAAUACUUACUAAAUUGUCUAUUACCAGGCAAUCAUUAUUCUAAGCCUUGGAAAUACAAAGACAAAGAGGAUAGGGUGCAUGUUUUUAAAAGUUUCAAAUCCAGUGUUCUCCACCAUGUUACCCACCAGAGAUGAUAAAAGGAUGGAUGCCAAUCUGAGGAGCCCUACCUAAUUGUGUGAAGAGUUGUUUAGGAGUUAUUUUGUGGAGUUCCCAUUGUGGCACAGCGGAAAUGAAUCUGACUAGGAACCAUGAGGUUGCUGGUUUGAUCCCUGAGUUAACCCUUACUCAGUGGGUUAAGGAUCCGGCGUUGCCAUGAGCUGUGGUGUAGAUUGAAGACGUGGCUCAGAUCCGGCAUUGCUGUGGCUCUGGCGUAGGCUGGCAGCUGUAGCUCUGAUUAGACCCCCAGCCUGGGAACCUCCAUAUGCUGAAAAUGUGGCCCUAAAACCAAAAAAAGAACUAUUUUCUGUUACAGGGAAAGACUAGAGGUGAAAUUCAAGAAAAGGCUCUGUCUGGGCCAAUUAUGAUUUUAGCAGGUAGGGUCCCAAACAAUGCCAGACCUGACAAACAGCUUCAGGCUUUUAAACCAAGGACAGUUGUCUCGGGGUGUGUGACAAAUGGAGUUUUGUGAAAUGGUCUGUCUGCCCACAGUCUAUCAUACAUAAGAACACUGUCAAUAACACCAUCCUCAGGGAUGGAGGACAGUGACAGCAAUGGUAGGGAAAAUAUUCCAUUAGUAAAACGUCCCCUAAUUAAUACUAAUCUGUUCCCUGGAAAAGGUGCUUUAGAGGAAAGAUUCCUCCCCCCACAUGCCAAACUGCUGAGCAUUAAUUUGGAAAAUUUCCCAUUUAGUUUCAAGAACUCUUAAAAAGCUUUGCUUAGUUAAAAACUAAAAAUGGAUCUGUUUCCUAGCUCAAAUAACAUAUAAAGAUGAGAUUUAUUUCAUAGGCAGCAUCAAUUCCUAAUUGAGCAUAUCAGUUCAAAGUACCUAUAUUCUCUUAUUCUCUGAAUUGACAUUCACUAUUCCCUCUUUCUCUUUAUCAUAAAAAUGCAUUUAUUAAGUACUCAGUUGCAUGUAAUCUUAGAAACUGGGAUACAACCACUGAUGUGGCCCUUGGCUUCCCUAAAACCUUGACAGCCAUGUCAGAUAAAAUUAGCAGGAAACAAAAAAUGCAGAAAGAACAGUGAGCGUAUCGUCACAUCAAUUCAUUUGGGAAACAGAAAUUUUAGGGUCAACUGGACAAUAUAAAGCACCAUGAAAGUGACACGCUGGUAGCUGACAUGAUGUGUCAACUAGGAAUCAUAGACUCAAUAAUUUGUCAAGUUCUCUUCAGCCUCGGGGCCCUGGUACCUGGCAGCCUCCUACUCAGCAUGUUCUUCUCUCUGCCUAGUUUCCAGCCUUUAAUCCUUCAGAUAUAAAAGCAUGUGUCUCUUUCUCAGGAAAGCACUCCUUGACUUGCCCAAAUAACAUCACAUUUUCUUACAAUGCAUCGCUUUCCCUAAAUUAUUUAUCGUGGUCCAUGGUUCCCUUAAUCACAAAGAUAGCACAUCCUAGUUCUGAGAUAUUCUCAUUCCCUAUCACCUUUUUUUUUUUUUUUUCCUCUCUCUCUUUAUGGCCACACCUGUGGCAUAUGGAAGUUCCCAGGCUGGGGGUCGAAUUGGAGUUGCAGUUGCCACCCUACACUGCAGCUCCAGCCACUUGGGAUCUGAGCUGCAUCUGCAAGCUAUGCCAAAGCUUUUGGCAAUGGCAGAUCCUUAACACAUUGAGCGGCCAGGGAUGGAACCCGUCUACUCACAGACACCAUGUUGGGUUCUUAACCCUGCUGAGCCACAAAGGAAAAUCCCGUAUCACCUUUCCUAUUACCUGUCACGGAUCACAGUUAUAUAUUCAUAGCAUUAUUUCAUGAACAUAUGACUACAAGCUUCAUGUAGCAUGGGGAGGGGCUCUUCUCUAGUGCCUGGCACAUUAUAGGUACCUAAUAAAGAUGUGAAUAAGUGAAUAAAUGAAUGAA